AACUUUCAGCAACGGAUCUCUUGGCUCUCGCAUCGAUGAAGAACGCAGCGAAAUGCGAUACGUAAUGUGAAUUGCAGACUCCGUGAAUCAUCGAAUCUUUGAACGCAUCUUGCACUCUCUGGUAUCCCGGAGAGUAUGUCUGUCUGAGUGUUGCGAAUUCUCGUCUCCCGAGUGGCUGAUUGGGCUGCGCGCGCGGGACGGAGAUGGCCCUGUGCCGGAGCGGGGGCGUCCGCGUCGGCUGGGCUGAAAUGGAAGCGGCAACGAGGUUGCGGCCUGAUCCAAUUGUAGAAUGAGUUUGCAUUGGAGACGCGACUUUUGCGGAGCCCCAGAUGAAUAUUUAAGUGAUCGACCUCAGAUCAGGCAGGACUACCCGCUGAACUUAAGCAUAUCAAUAAGCGGAGGCU
rnacentral:misc_RNA from 1 species